rnacentral:rRNA from 1 species
GAUGAACGCUAGCUACAGGCUUAACACAUGCGAGUCGAGGGGAAACGACAUCGAAAGCUUGCUUUUGAUGGGCGUCGACCGGCGCACGGGUGAGUAACGCGUAUCCAACCUGCCCAUCACUUGGGAAUAACCUUGCGAAAGUAAGACUAAUACCCAAUGACAUCCCACGAAGACAUCUGAAUGGGAUUAAAGAUUUAUCGGUGAUGGAUGGGGAUGCGUCUGAUUAGCUUGUUGGCGGGGUAACGGCCCACCAAGGCAACGAUCAGUAGGGGUUCUGAGAGGAAGGUCCCCCACAUUGGAACUGAGACACGGUCCAAACUCCUACGGGAGGCAGCAGUGAGGAAUAUUGGUCAAUGGGCGAGAGCCUGAACCAGCCAAGUAGCGUGCAGGAUGACGGCCCUAUGGGUUGUAAACUGCUUUUAUAAGGGAAGAAAGUGGGUCUCGGGAGACUUUUUGCAUGUACCUUAUGAAUAAGGACCGGCUAAUUCCGUG